AGAACUGGCUAAUGUUGACCCUGACUGGAAUUGUGUCGGUGGAUCACCUACCUGUGGUCAUUACUCACAGAUGGUGUGGAGAGAUUCAACAUCAGUUGGCUGUGCCAUCACUCAGUGUGUGAAUGUUGCUGGUGUAUUGCCCAACCUGGUUUCAUGCAACUAUGACCCACCAGGCAAUUACGAGGGGCAACAGCCCUAUUAGAUGUAGACAGCUACAGUGAUCAAUGGAGACGUAUGGUUAUUUUUUGCGCCUUACAGUCACGUUACAUGUUAUAGAUUUACAUUUCAAAUAUAGUGAGAAAUAUUAGUAUUGUUUCUC